GACGAACCGAGCGAACGUUGUUCGGAAUCACUGGGCUUAAAGGGCGCGUAGGCGGGUUCUCAAGUCCGGGGUGAAAUCCCACAGCUCAACUGUGGAACUGCCUCGGAUACUGGGGGCCUCGAGGGUGGUAGGGGUAUGCGGAACUAUCGGUGGAGCGGUGAAAUGCGUUGAUAUCUGGAGGAACACCGGUGGCGAAGGCGGCAUCCUGGACCAAUAUUGACGCUGAGGAGCGAAAGCCAGGGGAGCAAACGGG
rnacentral:rRNA from 1 species